rnacentral:rRNA from 1 species
GAAACCAACAGGGAUUGCUCUAGUAACGGCGAGUGAAGCAGCAAUAGCUCAAAUUUGAAAUCUGGCGUCUUCGGCGUCCGAGUUGUAAUUUGUAGAGGAUGCUUCUGAGUAGCCACCGACCUAAGUUCCUUGGAACAGGACGUCAUAGAGGGUGAGAAUCCCGUAUGCGGUCGGAAAGGCGCUCUACACGUAGCUCCUUCGACGAGUCGAGUUGUUUGGGAAUGCAGCUCUAAAUGGGAGGUAAAUUUCUUCUAAAGCUAAAUAUUGGCCAGAGACCGAUAGCGCACAAGUAGAGUGAUCGAAAGAUGAAAAGCACUUUGGAAAGAGAGUUAAAAAGCACGUGAAAUUGUUAAAAGGGA